GCGUGAAGGCGAGCAGCUAACCCUUUGAAGGGAGGAACUUCCACCCGCCAAAUUUAAAUUAGAAGGCAAACCUUUCCUGCUUAAGGCAGGAGCGGGGAUCAGAAACGACAUUCCCAGAGUGUUUUCACUCAAGCGCGUGACACUACGAUGCUUUAACACUCGCUGGGAAGUGAAACGCGCCCCGCUUGAAUGGCGCAAGGCUUUUUUUUGAAAGCCGCUUAGAUAAAUGCUGCCAAUUGAAAAACACGCGGUGUUUUUCGCACAACAAAAGGUGGGGUACCACCUUCACAC
rnacentral:RNase_P_RNA from 1 species